CUAAUACCGCAUGACCUCGCAAGAGCAAAGUGGGGGACCUUAGGGCCUCACGCCAUCGGAUGAACCCAGAUGGGAUUAGCUAGUAGGUGGGGUAAUGGCUCACCUAGGCGACGAUCCCUAGCUGGUCUGAGAGGAUGACCAGCCACACUGGAACUGAGACACGGUCCAGACUCCUACGGGAGGCAGCAGUGGGGAAUAUUGCACAAUGGGCGCAAGCCUGAUGCAGCCAUGCCGCGUGUGUGAAGAAGGCCUUCGGGUUGUAAAGCACUUUCAGCGAGGAGGAAGGGGUUGAGUUUAAUACGCUCAAUCAUUGACGUUACUCGCAGAAGAAGCACCGGCUAACUCCGUGC
rnacentral:rRNA from 1 species